GAGAGAGAGAGAGAGAGAGAGAGAGAGAGAGAGAGAGAGAGAGAGAGAGAGAGAGAGAGAUUGAACAGAGUGAGUCCAAUAGCCAGUGAAAGUACACAGAUAAAGUGGACUGGGUUAACACAGCUCAAUGAAAACACACUCAUUUCAAUCUUUAGCGUUUUACUGAAUGUCGUUGAAUGUUGCUGUUGUUGUUGUUUUUGGUGUGUGUGUGUGUGUGUGUGUGUGUGUGUGUGUGUGUGUGUGUGUGUGUGUGUGUGUGUGUGUGUGUGUGUGUGUGUGUGUGUGUGUGUGUGUGUGUGUGUGUGUGUGUGUGUGUGUGUGUGAACAGUAUGUCCGUGUGUUAUCAUGGCACUCUCUCUGAGCCUUUGUGAUAAACUACAGCUUCCCUCAUAACGGACAGCUCUCACUGGUGCUGGUUUUGUGUUAGUUUUCCCCCUGGAGAGCACCGCCAAUGGUGUAGAAAGACGGUGGUUUUAACCAGCAUGCACACGCUGUCAUCCCAAAUUACUAGCACACCGCUCAGAGGAAAACACACAAGCUUGCGUGAAGCUUCCUCUGAACUCCUUAAUGCACUCACACACCGACACACUGAUAUACACACACACACAAACACACACACACACACACUGACAAACACACACACACACACAACACACAUGCACUCACACACCGACACACACUGAUACACACACAUAAACUGACAAACACACACACUGACACACACACACACUGCUGUCACACAAAGACACAAACAUACACACACACACACACACACACACACACACACACACACACACACACACACACACACACACACACACACACACACACACACACACACACACACACACACACACUUCCCUGCCACUUGGGAACAACCUUUACUUCCCAGUAACAUGCCAAUAGUCUGGCUUUUUCUAAUUCAUCCAGUUUACUGCACCACUAAUGGAUAAUGGAUUUGGUAUAGAUCAGUGGAGGCUGGUGGGAGGAGCUAUAGGAGGACGGGCUCAUUGUAACGGCUCGAAUGGAAUGAAUGAAACUGUUCCACUUAUUUGAUUCCAGUCGUUACAAUGAGCCCGUCCUCCUAUCGCUCCUGCCACCAGCCUCCUCUGGUAUAGAUGUAAUGGGUUCUCAAUGCUACCCGGAGGCACAUCGUUUCUCUGAUGGGAAGUGUCAUAUCGGUGCCCUUUGUAGACUCCCUAUCCAAGUUUAUAACUCUGGUGAUGAGUUAGGAGGCAACACACAGCACAGGAAAGGUGAUGAGUUAGGAGGCAGGCAGCACAGGAAAGGUGAUGAGUUAGGAGGCGGCAGAGGAAAGGUGAUGAGUUAGGAGGCAGGCAGCACAGGAAAGGUGAUGAGUUAGGAGGCAGGCAGCACAGGAAAGGUGAUGAGUUAGGAGGCAGGCAGCACAGGAAAGGUGAUGAGUUAGGAGGCGGCACAGGGAAAGGUGAUGAGUUAGGAGGCAGGCAGCACAGGAAAGGUGAUGAGUUAGGAGGCGGCAGAGGAAAGGUGAUGAGUUAGGAGGCAGGCAGCACAGGAAAUGGAUGAGUUAGGAGGCAGCAGAGGAAAGGUGAUGAGUUAGGAGGCAGGCAGCACAGGAAAGGUGAUGAGUUAGGAGGCGGCAGAGGAAAGGUGAUGAGUUAGGAGGCAGGCAGCACAGGAAAGGUGAUGAGUUAGGAGGCGGCAGAGGAAAGGUGAUGAGUUAGGAGGCAGGCAGCACAGGAAAUGGAUGAGUUAGGAGGCAGCAGAGGAAAGGUGAUGAGUUAGGAGGCAGCACAGGAAAGGUGAUGAGUCAGGAGGCAGCACAGGAAAGGUGAUGAGUUAGGAGGCAGCACAGGAAAGGUGAUGAGUUAGGAGGCAGCACAGGAAAGGUGAUGAGUUAGGAGGCAGCACAGGAAAGGUGAUGAGUUAGGAGGCAGCACAGGAAAGGUGAUGAGUUAGGAGGCAGCAUGCAGCACAGGAAAGGUGAUGAGUUAGGAGGCAGCACAGGAAAGGUGAUGAGUUAGGAGGCAGCACAGGAAAGGUGAUGAGUCAGGAGGCAGCACAGGAAAGGUGAUGAGUUAGGAGGCAGCACAGGAAAGGUGAUGAGUUAGGAGGCAGCACAGGAAAGGUGAUGAGUUAGGAGGCAGCACAGGAAAGGUGAUGAGUUAGGAGGCAGCACAGGAAAGGUGAUGAGUUAGGAGGCAGCACAGGAAAGGUGAUGAGUUAGGAGGCAGCAUGCAGCACAGGAAAGGUGAUGAGUUAGGAGGCAGCACAGGAAAGGUGAUGAGUUAGGAGGCAGCACAGGAAAGGUGAUGAGUCAGGAGGCAGCACGCAGCACAGGAAAGGUGAUGAGUUAGGAGGCAGCACGCAGCACAGGAAAGCAAGGCGCAGGCAACAGGCGGCUCUAUCUUUCUAUAUGUCACUAAACUGUUAAUUAAAAGAUGAAUGGAGCCAUCUUGGUGUGUUAAUGAAAGAAAAAAAGGGAGAGGAAGGUGAG